CACUUAGUCACAAACACUGGCCAAAGUUAGCGUUCAUAUUUAUUUUUUUGCAUUUUGCACACAAAAACAAAUAUGAACACUAACUUUGGCCAGUGUUUGUGACUAUUUG